UGGGGAAUUUUGGACAAUGGGCGAAAGCCUGAUCCAGCAAUGCCGCGUGUGUGAAGAAGGCCUUCGGGUUGUAAAGCACUUUUGUCCGGAAAGAAAUCCUUGGCUCUAAUACAGUCGGGGGAUGACGGUACCGGAAGAAUAAGCACCGGCUAACUACGUGCCAGCAGCCGCGGUAAUACGUAGGGUGCAAGCGUUAAUCGGAAUUACUGGGCGUAAAGCGUGCGCAGGCGGUUUGCUAAGACCGAUGUGAAAUCCCCGGGCUCAACCUGGGAACUGCAUUGGUGACUGGCAGGCUAGAGUAUGGCAGAGGGGGGUAGAAUUCCACGUGUAGCAGUGAAAUGCGUAGAGAUGUGGAGGAAUACCGAUGGCGAAGGCAGCCCCCUGGGCCAAUACUGACGCUCAUGCGCGAAAGCGUGGGGGGCAAACAGGAUUAGAUACCCUGGUAGUCCACGCCCUAAACGAUGUCAACUAGUUGUUGGGGAUUCAUUUCCUUAGUAACGUAGCUAACGCGUGAAGUUGACCGCCUGGGGAGUACGGUCGCAAGAUUAAAACUCAAAUGAAUUGACGGGGUCAUAGCUGUUUCCU
rnacentral:rRNA from 1 species